GCGGCCGCGCCUGCCGCGAGCACCCACAUUUUCUGCCGGCCUCUGCGCGCCGGAGCCGCGUCUCCUUCCGCCGGUGCCGCGAAGCCUCAUGGAAGCCCCGGAGGGCGGCGGAGGGGGGCCUACAGCGCGGGGCCCGGAGGGGCAGCCGGCCCCCGAAGCCAGGGUGCACUUCCGAGUGGCGAGGUUCAUCAUGGAGGCAGGUGUCAAGCUAGGGAUGCGGUCCAUUCCCAUUGCCACUGCUUGCACCAUUUACCAUAAGUUCUUUUGCGAGACCAACCUGGACGCCUAUGACCCUUACCUGAUUGCCAUGUCUUCAAUUUACUUGGCCGGCAAAGUGGAAGAGCAGCACCUGCGGACUCGUGACAUCAUCAAUGUGUCCAACAGGUACUUUAACCCAAGUGGUGAGCCCCUGGAAUUGGACUCCCGCUUCUGGGAGCUCCGGGACAGCAUCGUGCAGUGUGAGCUUCUCAUGCUGAGAGUUCUGCGCUUCCAGGUCUCCUUCCAGCAUCCACACAAGUACCUGCUCCACUACCUGGUUUCCCUCAAGAACUGGCUGAACCGCCACAGCUGGCAGCGGACCCCCGUUGCCGUCACUGCCUGGGCCCUGCUGCGGGACAGCUACCACGGGGGGCUGUGCCUCCGUUUCCAGGCCCAGCACAUCGCUGUGGCGGUGCUCUACCUGGCCCUGCAGGUCUACGGAGUUGAGGUGCCCGCCGAGGUCGAGGCUGAGAAGCCGUGGUGGCAGGUGUGUAGUGACGACCUUACCAAGCCAAUCAUUGAUAAUAUUGUGUCUGAUCUCAUUCAGAUUUAUACCAUGGACACAGAGAUCCCCUAAGGUCCUGGCCCAGGCCUGCCCAAAGAGAAUCCCAGGAUGGUCGGCUGCCUGGGGACAUUGCCACCACGUCGCCAUGAUGGCUGGUCCCCAGAGGACCAGCUGGGAGGACUGGUUGUGCUGCUGGAGAAGGGCUGGAGAAGGCGAUGGCAUGCUGCCGCUUUGACAGUCCCUAGCAGUCGCGGUCCAGGUGAUGAUGGGAGCCACGCCACCAGCGGGCAGGCUGGGAGUGCACUGUGUGCAGCUGACCCAAGGCAGCCACAUCUGCUUUUGUCCUUUGAGAGGACUCUGACUACAAUAGAGGCAUGACAUCAAUGAAAGGAAAAUCAUGAAAUCGAUGAGACUGAAUCCCUAUGGAUUUUUUAAAAGCCGGAUUUAUAGGGAGAAUGAAUGUGCAACAUGACUGAAAUCUAUUUUGUGUAAUAAAAGAAAGAAAGGACUCUGAGGUGACAGAAUUGCAAGCCGGAAACAGCCUCCCACGUGCCUAACAGAAAUACAGCCUAUAUUUCUUCUGGAGCCUAACAGAGCCUCCCAUGUGCAUUGAACUGUGCUGUGGGUGAGAAUAAAGCUUCUUGAUUCAGGUAUAAGAAAAAAAGAGGAGGAGAGACACAGACACGGGAGAAAAACCACACGACAACAGAGGCAGAGGUUGGAGUGAAGCAUCUACAAGCCAAGGAAUUCCGAGGAUGGCUGGCAAUGCCCAAAACUAAGAGGAGGUCCUGGAGCAGAUUCUCCCCUGGAGCCUUCAGAGGGAGCAUGGCCUGCCCAUGCCUUGAUUUUGGACUUCUGGCCUUCAGAACUGGGAGAGAAGUUUCUGUUGUGAGCAGCCACGGGCCACUCACACACGGACCUCCCCCAGACCCCUGCACAAGCCUUUACUCCCAGGACUCAGCUGUUUCAGUGAGUUCUGAUUUUCCCCCGUGGAACCUGUGUCAUGUUUGAAGCAGAAGCUUGUGGACAAGGGAUUCACAGACACAAAUUUGCGAUUCUUUUGGGGUAGCAUGAUGUCUCUCCAUGAAGGGCCAGCUGUCUUGGUAUGGACUUUGGCUCAAUCUGGACUUACUCAUCCUUAUGGUUCAGGAUGCACUUGGACACCAAUGCAGCAAGGACAUGCUGCGAUUCUUCUGCCUGCUGUUUUCAAUUUGUCUUUUCUCUUCUCUUUUCUCUUUUUUCUUUUCUUUUCUUUUUUCUUCUCCUCUCUCUCUCUCUCUUUCUUUCUUUCUUUCCUGACAGAAUCUUACUCUGUCACUCAGGCUGGAGUGCAGUGGCACGAUCUGGGCUCACCACAACCUCUGCCUCCUGGGUUCAAGCGAUUCUCCUGCCUCAGCCUCCCAAGUAGCUGGGAUUACAGGCAUGCACCACCAAGCCCGGCUAAUUUUUUUAUUUUUAGUAGAGAGAGGGUUUCAUCAUUUUGGCCAGGCUGGUCUCGAACUCCUGACCUCAAGUGAUCCCCCGCCUCGGCCUCCCAAAGUGCUGGGAUUACAGGUGUGAGCCACUGCACCCAGCCUGAUUGGUCUUUUUGCCAGUUUUAGAAGCUUGGACUCUGAUGCUUUGAAUGACUUUGAAGCCAUUUUUCUCGUCUCUUGGCAGCCUUCCUGGAAAAUGCGUCUUCCAGUGCUGCCAAGUCGAAAAGGGAAAGAGAAAUCCAAUGAAAUGAGGGGAGUGUGGUCUUAGCGCCAUCGCCAGGGUGGUCAUUGGCAAGUCUUGGCCACAGGAUUGCCUUGCUGGCUCUUCCGGGCUCAAGCAGGGGUGGGACCAUGGAGCAUGGCAUGCACAGGCACAGGUGUUCAGGGAUGCAGCAUGUGGAUUAAGGGAAUGAGUGAAAUGGUGGGCUUUCUUCCUGUGGCUUUGGAUUAGCGAAGGCGUCUAUGAUUGGAACGCUCGUGCACUGCUGAUGAGAAUGGAAAAUGGAGGUUUCUCAAAAGGUUCAACCUACAGUUCCCAUAGGAUCCAGUAUUUCCACUGCUGGGUAUAGGCCCAAAGGAAUGGAAGGCAAGGUCUGGAAGGGCGGUUUGCAUACCCAUGUCCACUGCAGCGUGAUCCACAAUAGCUGAAAUGUGGAAGCAACCUAAAUGUCCAUGGAUGGCUGAUUGCAUAAGCAAAAUGUGGCAUAUCCAGACAAUGGAGUAUGAUUCACCUUAAAAAGGAAAUUCUGACACAUGCUUCCACAUGGAUGAUUCUUGAGGACAUCAUGCUAGUCACAGGAGGGCAAAUACUGUAGGAUUCCACUUCUAUGAGGGGCCUAGAGUGGUCAAAUCCAUAGAGGCAGAAAGUAGAAGAUUGGGUGCCAGGGGCUGGGGGGUGGGGAGUUGGGGUUGAACGGGGCCAGAGCUUCAGUUUGGGAAGAUGAACAAGUUCUGCGGCUGGAUGGUGGUGAUGGCUGCACAGCACCGUGAAUGUGCUUCUGCCCCUGGGCCGCACACUUAAAAAUGGUGAACUUGGUACAUUUUAUGUGAUCUGUGUUUUACCACAAUAAAAGAAGUGAGGAGUGUG